rnacentral:lncRNA from 1 species
AUUAAAUCAAAAUUAGAACCCGUCUCUCCUCCCCUCCUCUCGAAAUCUAUAUAUAACUCUCUAUUGAACUCGUUAUUGUCAUCGAAAUAGAAGAUCAAUCAGAUAUUUCUCAUUUUUCAGCCAUGACAAUGUCUAAUGGCAUUCCGGAGAAGAAAAUGAAGGGUAAGCGAAAGAUUGAAAUCCAAAAGAUCGACAAGAAAACAAGUUUACGAGUAGCUUUAUCCAAGAGGCGGAAUGGUCUUUUCAAGAAGGCUAUGGAAACGCGCCUAUUGUGCGGCGCAGAUGUAGCAAUCCUUAUCCAAUCUCUGGGUAACAAGUUCUCACUUUUGGCGAACCCUCUUUGGAAUCCAUUUUGAAUCAAUGCCAAUUUCUUGUUGAUGCCCACAAUCUGAUCGUUGAAGGGAGGGGUAAAAAUGAGAGGGAAUUUUGGUGGGAGAAAGAAAAUUUGGAAAAAAUGGAGUUGCGUGAACUUGGAGCGUUUGAGGUGGUAGUAACCGGUCUAAGAGAUGAAGUUUUGAAUCGCGCUUCAGUUGCUUCGUAAAUUCAAUUUCCACUAGAGGAAUUUUAAUGAUACUGUUAUGAAUUUAGAGUUCUAGACAGUAUGACGAUAUCCUAGUACUUGACAGAAUUAGAUUUUAAAUUUGAAUGUUGUCUGAUGUAAAAAUUAAAAAUUCAUUAUUCUUUUUUUA